rnacentral:sRNA from 1 species
GCGAUGAGCUGAAUUGCGUAAGCCGGCAAGGCAACCUUUUUGGAAUGCACAAUGUGGAGUGCAAGCCUUAGCCGCCGCAACACAAGAUCGGAAAAAAGCGCCCCGGACCGGGCGCUUUUU